UGGCGGUUGACGGCAACGUUAGGGAG
rnacentral:siRNA from 1 species